CCAAAUCCCUUUAUCAAAAACAGAAUUUGUUUCCCUUUACCUAAAUUCCCAAAUCCCUUUAUCUAAAUUCCAUCAAAUCCAAAGCCUAAGACCACCGAAGCAGAAGAAGCCUAAGACCACCGAAGCAUGGGGUGUUGACAGUGACGGUGGAGAAGUUGCCGCCACCGAAGCUAAUCUCUCACAGACCCUCUCUCUCUCGUCUAAUCUCAGACCCUCUCUCACGAUCACUGAAAUUGCUCGAUCUUGCCUCUUCUACAAAAUUCUUAUUUCACUAGUGGUAGAGAAAAGAGAGGAAAUAACGACAUCUCCUCCUUCCCCUCCUUCAAAUCUGUUGUGGAUUAAAUAUGAAAUUGUUUGUUUAAUCGGCUGUUUUUUAUUUUGAUCUGGUGUUGGGUAUUGUUCUGGCCGGAUUCUAUGGCUUUGGGUAGGCGACUGUUGGACUGGUAGUGGUGGGUCGACGGAUUUAGGGUUUCAAUUUUGGUGAGGAAGAGAUGAACAGUAGGGGGUUUGAUUUGGAAUUAAUUAGGAAAAAAUGAGGA
rnacentral:lncRNA from 1 species